rnacentral:rRNA from 1 species
CCUACGGGUGGCUGCAGUGAGGAAUAUUGGUCAAUGGGCGAGAGCCUGAACCAGCCAAGUCGCGUGAAGGAUGACGGCCCUACGGGUUGUAAACUUCUUUUGUCAGGGAGCAAUUGAGUCCACGUGUGGUCUUAGCGAGAGUACCUGAAGAAAAAGCAUCGGCUAACUCCGUGCCAGCAGCCGCGUGAGUACGGAGGAUGCGAGCGUUAGCCGGAUUUAUUGGGUUAAAGGGGUGCGUAGGCGGAAUAUCAAGUCAGCGGUAAAAAUUCGGGGCUCAACCCAGUCGUGCCGUUGAAACUGAUGUUCUUGAGUGGGUGAGAAGUAUGCGGAAGGCGUGGUGUAGCGGUGAAAUGCAUAGAUAUCACGCAGAACUCCGAUUGCGAAGGCAGCAUACCGGCGCCCAACUGACGCUGAAGCACGAAAGCGUGGGUAUCGAACAGGAUUAGAUACCCCUGUAGUC